AUAACUCGGACCGGACCUCCGUUUUGCUCCAGGAGCCACCCCCACUCCGGGAGACGACUGGAGAGCAGCUGCUCCUGGAGGAGACACGCCGACUCCAGCUGGGGAGCCCCGCUGGCUGAGACUCCAGAGAAGUCAAAUCUGGGAGGGAAGGCCUUUCAUUUCUUUGGAUUUUAAUUUGCAAAAGGAAGGGAACUCCCGUGUUGAGCUUUGAUUUCUUUCCUAGAAUUUAAUAAGGGACGGGGCGCCACAGAGCUCAAGUCCAGGGUAUUUUUAAGCUGUUGGUAUCGUGUUCCCUGGAGUAUUUUUAUGCUCUCAUGUGGUGUUUGUGGUACGGCUUCCUCUGCUGAGCUAUAUCAGACAGCGUGGCUUGAAAUCUGAGAUGGGAAACGUAAUCGGGGUGAAUUUUUGGCCUAGGGUGCGUGGGGACUUGGAAUAAUUUUACUUAAUACCCUGUUCUGACCAUUUCAGAGGCUCUGGGCUAACAGCUGAAGCACCCACCCCACAGGGCCUGGGCAGUGAUGGGCGGCAUGGCCGGAAGCUGUGAGGGCACGGCUCCUCCGCUGGCCUGCACCCCUGAGAGCACAGGUGUCCGGGGCUGACUAUAGGCUUGGCUGUUUAGCCCACUGGCUAAGUGGACAAAACUUGGAUGGAGUUCGGCCAGAACCCUGAUCCCACCUGCCUUCUGUUUCCAUGGAGGAGAGGCUCUCUCCCUGCCGUCUGCUCACUCAGUUGUCCCAAGGACAGUGGAGUCGCUAACAUAUGGAAAGCUGCGUGCUGACCAGGAAGUGGAGUGGGAGUGUUAAAGGUAGCGCUCACAGACAGCAAGCUAACCCAGGAGGCGCCUCUGUGGGAAUUUGAAAACGAUGCCCCACUGGGCAGGCAGGUCCUGACAGGAAUAGGGCUUGGUGAGGAGAUGACAUAUUUGUGCAAAGACAAAUGAGCCCCUUUAGCUUUUGCAUGAUGCUUGGAGUGGAACCGGGGCUACACUCCAGUUCCCACUUGUCCCCUCAGGGGGUGCUUUUGUGCAGUGCACAGACUGCACAGCCAUACGUAGCCACCCUGCGUACCUUUUCCUAAUCAGUCACCAGAGGCACUUGCACUUGAAAGUGUCCACUCCACAGGGAGCGGUAGGUGACAUCUGCCUCUGGAACCCCAGCCCAGACCUCUGCUCUCUCUGUUCAGCUUCUCAGGGCCUGUGGUCUUCAAGUCACAAGCAGGCAGUGAAGAAAAUGGUCCUCUUCAGCCCAGCUCAUCCAGGGGGCUCCUGUGCCUUGGGGGUUAGUGAGUACCUCUCUGACUCAGCAGUAAAACAUCCACAGGUCCCUUCCUAGCUAGCGUCUUGUGUGAUGUUCUCUGUCGGCCAGAGCCUAACAGGGCAGGUCAGGUGAGAGGACGAAUGAAUCAAACUCCAUCCUCAUCCCUAAGAAUAAUGAUAAAUAACAAUAUUCUCUCCUUGUAUAACAGCAACAUGGGGGCAGGGGGUGUUCAAAAGCCUUUUUUAAGGUACUUUUACCUUGUGGCCUCUGUCAGGAAUGAAGGAUGUGUAAACCCACACUUGGAUCCAUUAGAGGAAUCACUUUUGCCUCUCUCUGAAGCCCAUCACUGCCUGGCUGAGAAACCCUAUUUGUGUAACAGGGAACACACCAUGACUGGGGGAGCCUCCUUACGACAGGGCUCUCAUAAGAGAGAUGGGGAGGUGGGGAUAGACCAGGUGAUUAAAGCAGAAUUUUAACCAGAAUGUUCCUCCAAUAGUCAGGCCAAGCCUGCGCACGUAUGACACGAUCCAGAAGAGUUCUUUAAUCAAGGGCUUUAUGAGACGGACAAAAAAAAUGGAUGGAACGUGGCCGAGCCGGACCCACACACAGAGAGGAGAGAUAAGGACUCCUGUGUUUGCUCUAUGCUUAACUACAGGAGAGACGCCGUGGGUUCUGAUCACACUUUCAAGUCCUGUAAGGAACUUGGGAUAACCAGCCUGCCUGCCUGGACUCGCCUCUUUCAGCCUCCUCCGUUCCAGGCUGUGGGUCCUGCGCUCCAGAGCCGCCUGCCCUGGGAGUCCGCUUUUUCCCUCCAGGUGGUCAGGGCCAAGAUCCUGGUCUGGGUUUCUGCAAGUCCUCAGCGUUCCUCUUCUGAGGAGGCUCCGCAGGAUUCUGCCUUGGGUCUAGCUCAGGAAGGGCUACUGAGGCUGCGGCUAUGCUCCUCUCUAAACUGACGCCCAGGUGCUGGGGUUUGUCGGGCGAGUGUCUCCUGGGACCUGGACUUUCAGUGCUAAUGCUGGGGACAUUCCAGGCAACCUGGGGCGUGUCGGUCACCCUACCCACUGCCCCGAUCCUUCCUUCAUCCUAGGGGCUGUGUUCUCUGCAUCCGGGGAGAAGUCUCUGCGCGUUCUAACGCCGCCCCGUUGACCUCUCAUCUUCCCCACUACCCACGGCUGAGGCCUGAGCCUGCUACGUGACUGUGCGCCGCGGAAUGUGGCGUGAGAGGCUCGUCUGUUGCCACGGCACCUACAGUCAUACAGAACCUUCCAGCGGUAACCACGUGACUUGAUGAGACAGCCAAAAUGCAAUUUAUAGGAUCUGCUGGGAGUCAUGUGGCAAAUCCACGCCUAUGGGCUUGGCGAGUGCGGGCAUGCUGUUUGCGAGUACAGAGCGGCACCAGAGAACAGGAGUGACUUGUGCUCAGAACAAUUCAGUCAUUUCCACGUAAGGGGGAAAUGAUCAUCAGACAUGUGGAUCCAUCGCAGUCACCUGAGUUGGAACCCUGGCUGCAUUGAGCUGUGUGGCCUGAGACAAGUUACUCAGCCUUUCAGCUUCAUCUUCCUUACCUCCAAAGUGGAGAUAACCAUGCUCAUUGUAAGGAUGAAAAGGGUCUUGGGCCUCAGUCCUGGUUUCUCUGUAGCUUAAACUCCAAGUUUCAUCUGUCCAGCCCAGCAAGACUGCCAUAAGCGCUGGACUACUGCCAAUGUCAUUGUUGUUGCUGUUCUGUCUCUGCUCACGCCGGGAAUUGAUAAAUGACUCAAGGAGAAAAAACUACGUUGAACAUAGGCUCACCACGUGAGUCUCGGACACUUUGGUUAUUCUCUGAUGCCAUCAAACAUCUGAUUUUGGAUUGCAAUCUACCUCUUACAUUUUGUGUUAGUCAGAGACUCAGUCUGAUACAAUCUACUGUGUCUUAAGGAAGUAUAAGUCUGGACUUAUACUUAACAUAUUUCUUAAAUGUGUAUAAACACAAAACUAGAUUCAAAUUCUCAUAUUAAUAGGCUCAUACAAAUAAAAACCAAAACAAAUUAACAAAUUUAAACCAACUUAUAAAAUUUGGUUAACCAAUUUUAAAAAUUGAUUAAGUACAAGGCCAAUAACAUUAAAAUUAUUGUUAAUUUAAUGUAAUGAAUGAUGGGUUAAGAUACGUGACUACCUCCUAACAUCAGGUUUUUAAUUGUGCUAUGUGAUGACUCAAUUCUCCUCUUUUCUCUGUUCCAGCAACUAAAUAACUUAGACUCCAAUUUAUACCAUGUGCCGUGACAUUAUUUGGCCUUCACUUUGCAUAAACAUUAUAUUUAUGCAUAGAUUCAAAUAUGUUCUUUUCUCUUUGGCUCUGAGCACUUAAAAUAGCGUUCUUUGGCUGUAACACAACGGUAGAAAUGAACACAAACGUAGGCACUGAAAUGGCACGGCAGUCCUGGCAUCUGGGGGGUCAUCUUGAUGUUUCAGGAUGUACUUAUGUUAAUGUUCUUAGAUGACCGUUGAAAUGGAAACACAAAUCUGAAAAAUUGGACUCCAGUUAUGGAAACCGCUCAACCAUGGGUCCCAACUCUCCUCCCUCAUUGUUCUCAGCCUUUUCACACCCACAAGUGAGAAUGCACCAGGCCCACAAACCCCCGGCUGAAAGCUCCAGGAUCCCUUGCAAGUAGUCUACACUCACGGAAACCCUUCCCAGCCCCAGCCCUGGGCCAGCACCCGCCCCUCCACCUCAUUAAUAAGGAGCAGGUGGCUGAGGCACUGAGGAAUCCCCAGUGACACAGGGACAACCUCAGUCUCAACCUAGUAUUUCCCUUCUUUCAAAAGGUGUGCAUUUGUGUGUGUGCGUAUUUGAGAGAGAGAGUGUGUGUCACGGGUUGGGUUUUGCCCUUCAAAAUUCGCAUGUUGAAGUCUUAACCCAUAGCACCUCAGAAUGUGACUGUAAUGGAGACACGGUCUUUAAAGAGGUAAUUAAGUUAAAAUGAAGUCAUUAGGGUGGGCCCUAACCCAUACAACUGGUUUAAGGACUUCUAAGAAGAGAUUAGGACAUAGAGCUACACAGACGGAAGAGCAUGUGAAGACACUAGGAGAACGCGGCCAUCUACUCGCCAAGCAGAGACGUCUCAGAAGAAACAACCCUGCCGACACCUUGAUCUGGGACUUCUGGCCCCUAGAUUUUUGACGAAAUAAAUUCUGUUGCC